rnacentral:rRNA from 1 species
CCCUUAGAUGCUCUGGGCCGCACGCGCGCUACACUGGUCGAUGCAACGAGUUUCUUUCCUUGGCCGACAGGCCUGGGCAAUCUUUGAACAUCGAUCGUGAUCGGGAUAGAUUCUUGUAAUUUUUGAUCUUAAACGAGGAAUUCCUAGUAAACGCAAGUCAUCAGCUUGCACUGAUUACGUCCCUGCCCUUUGUACACACCGCCCGUCGCACCUACCGAUUGAAUGGUCCGGUGAAAUCUCCGGACUGGCGUGAGUCGGAGCAAUCUGACAAACACCGGAAAGUUGAUCAAACCUUACCAUUUAGAGGAAGGUGAAGUCGUAACA